CGCUCCUCUUAAUUUUUCUUAAAAAUAUCGAUGGUUUAUCAAGACAAAUAAGAUAUAAGAAAUAUGUAUUAAGAUUAUUGCACUUAUCUUGCAAAAAAUACAUUUUCAUUAUGAUACAAUAUAAGAGCAGUUACUUAUGUAAUUUAUUCUAUUAUAUAACGGAAUAAUUUUAAAAAACCACUCAUUGACGUCACGAAUGAUAAAUUGUACCCUCUUUAAGGACCGACAAGGGGGACUGGACUAGAACGGGGUCUUAUGUCCUAAAUAAGGACUAACACAACACUAAUCACAGCCUCUUCUGUCUUAAAAAAUGUUUUUAAACAGAUCUACGUUACUCCAAGGUUAAUACAAAAUGUAUUUCUAAUAACCUUGCUUUACACUAUGAAUAUUGUUUUGUAGUUUAUUUUAUAUUCCAUAAAAACAAAAGAGCACUCUAAUAUUUACUUAUACUUAAUCUGUACAACUCCAUCUAACCAAUUAAAGGAACAUACAGCCAUAUAAAUUUAUAUAGUUAUAUCGUGGUAAUGAUAUAUAUGUACUAAGUAGGGAUGCCACUCAUAAUUUUAUAAUAUACCUGGAUUUCCCCAUAAAAAUCCCAAGAAUUAACACUGAAGUCCCAUGAAAAUAAUAAUACUUCACAUGAUAUCUAUACAGUUUAACACUCACCUUGAAUUUUUUUGCAUAUUCUUCUUCACCUUCAAUAGUGUCUGGUGAUUAGUGUAUAUAAUCAUUUUUGUAUAAGUUUUAAGCCUAUCUUUAGGUUGAUGAGCAUUCCCCUGUUCAAUUUUUAUCAUUAAGGCUAUAGGAGGCUGUCAGUUCGAAAAUGUUCCAUCGUUUUUUUCUAAUAUAUUAUUUAGGUGCAGUUCAAAUCAUACGAAACGAGAACGAGUCGUAAACUAGAUCAAUGAAGUUUGAAGGUGAGUUUACAAAUCGUGGUUCUAAGGAGCCCGUAGCUCACAAAUAGGAUCAUUAAACUUAUCUCCCAUGGAUGAAAAUUAUAUAAGACGCCCCUUCAUUGACAGCUAUUAAUGUUCCAAAAACAAAGACUCAAAUUUGAUCAUAUUUUGUAAAAAAGUGAAGUAUUAAAAACUGUGAAGUGAAUGAGAAUAAUUCAGUAUAAUAAGGGAUCAACGAAUAAUCUACCUCUACUGGAAUAUUGACUAUUGAAAGUUCUGUGGGACAAUUCUAUAAAUUUCUCCAUUUUUGAGCUCAUCUAAAAACAGGGAUACUAAAAUAGACAAUAUGUUAAUACUACAAGGUUAGUUCAAGUAAAUCCCUUCAUGUAUAGUAGUUUGUAUCGAACUAUAUUAUUUACGUGAUGACGGCUUAAGAAUCUCUUCAGACGAAAGGGAAAAAGUUACAUACCCAUUCAUUACCAAUCCAUCUGCUCAGCAAUAUUAUAAGUCAAGGUUAAGUUAUAUUUGAUUAAUGUUACAGUUCACGCAUCGUAUUAUUUUUUAUCAUAGUGGAUACGUUUUUCAUAUACAUCGAUUUUUCAUUAGCUAGGUACAUGAUUACUCGGAAUUGGUAAAAUGCAAACUCGUUUCGGUCAGAAUAGUAUAAGGAAUUGGACUUAAUAAGAACCUCAUAAGUGUCUCACACCUUGAAACAUUUUGCACCUUUCGCAACAGAAUUGACCUUCUUUACUAGCAAUCUUUUUUAAAUAUAGUCGAAGGAAUUAAUAAGA
rnacentral:lncRNA from 1 species